ensembl:lncRNA
CAUUAACCUUGAGCUUACUGUUUAACUGAAAUUAAAAAACAGAGUCUACUCAUUGCAAUUUAAGACACUUGGAGACCUUUCGAAAAAAUGUAAAAAGGGACACACGAUAUGGCAAAAUGGCGGCUCGUGGCCACGAGCGCAGCUCAAAAGCGGAGCACGAAAAAUGGCCGAACUGCGGCAGCGCUGCCGAGCAUUAGCGCAGGGCUGCGAUGGCGGCGGGUGGGAUGAGGCUGCUGCGUCACAGCCGACAGCAGCCUGGGUCCCUGGACGUGAGCCUCCCUGCACAGCCAGGGCAACUUCCCCAUAAUACCGUGGCCCAUUUUCACCACACAGAUAAAAGCAACUAUGUGGGUGGUUGCUAUGCAAAAGUAUUGUUAAAUGUUUUCGUAUUUGUAGGAGUGUGCCGUUGAUGAAGAUGACGAUGGCGCCCAGAGAUGUUAGGGUCCCAAGAAGUGUUGAGGAUGAAAAUACCUUUUUCAAAAACAGUUACCUUUCGGUUCUAUCAAGAAAAAAAAGCCUCUCUCUUCUUCUAAAAAGGCUUUAUAGUUGUUGAAAGUAGCCGAUACAAACGAGAUCGCUGUAUGGAAAAAAUAUAUAUUUCUUCUUCAAUAUUUUUUUUGUUGCUAGGUUGAGUUAAAUAUCAUAUUAUGACAAUAAAAGGCCAAUACUGUUGGUAUGCUCCCUUAUCUUUAUAGACACAAGACCUGGGGAACAUUUUACCGUAUCAAGCAAUCGUUUAUAGGAACGUCAUCAAUCUCAAAAGCUAUUGACUCCGGGAUCACAUAAAAACAAACACGUUGAUAACUUUAAUAGUUCAUAUCUUAAUUCCCAUUAUUUAAAUAAUUUUGUAAUCCAAUGCAAAACACACACAUCGAUAUUUCUGAUUUCCCCUUACCUCCUGAGGCCCAAAAGAUCAAGUUGGGGGGAAAUAUGCUGAAACAAUGAGGUAACUUCAAAACGGCAUUCAUUAUAGAGCAGAGCUGGGCGAGCAAAGAGCCCGACGGAGAGAUUAGGAUUUCUUUCAGACGUUUGGUGUCUGUUGUCCAUGCAGUAUCGACGGUACGGGUAACCUCUCUAGACCUGGCGAAGACAUGACGAACAGCGAACACGAAUAAGCAUGAAACAACGAAUGAAACGGACGAUGGACGAAUGAAUGAAGUGAAAUGAUGGAGAAUAUCAACAUUCUUGGUUGGUCUGUGUCAAAAAGUGACCCCGUCCAAAAGUAAAAUAACAUUAAGAAGACUUGAAAACAGUUGACCUAAAUCAGAAAUAAAGCACAAAGCUCGGACUGAUCGCUUAAUGCGGGGCUGCAUGCAUUCGAACCUUAGCCUACAUUAUCCUCACUUGCCUACGACAUUCGAAAAAAGGAAAAAAGCGAGCGAGCAAACAUUGACCGCAAACCUCCGUCAGUUGCUAAUGUUGUUAUUAUAUAUACACAAAACCCAAACAAAAAAAACGGUCCAAAGUUACCAGCACCGCAAAGAGUUAGCAUGAAGGAAGACAGGACACCGCUUGAUGGCCGGCACUCACCACACUUUUUGGGCUCAGAGAGAGAGAGAGAGAGAGAGAGAAGCUGGACGGGCAGACUCCGGGUGCAACAUCCUCAGAGUGGAGAUGCGAGAGGUGCCAGGCGAGACACGUGGCAGCGGCAGACCCAACCACAGCCCGCGACGCUCACACCACCAUAACCCCCC